UACGGGGGGGGCAAGCGUUGUUCGGAAUUACUGGGCGUAAAGGGCCAGUAGGCGGCCAACUAAGUCCGACGUGAAAUCCCAAGGCUUAACCUUGGAACUGCGUCGGAUACUGGAUGGCUUGAAUUCGGGAGAGGGAUGCAGAAUUCCAGGUGUAGCGGUGAAAUGCGUAGAUAUCUGGAGGAAUACCGGUGGCGAAGGCGGCAUUCUGGACCAUUACUGACACUGAAUCGCGAAAGCUAGGGGAGCAAACGGG
rnacentral:rRNA from 1 species